AACGCACGAGACCUGCGGACCUGCGGAGGGAUCAUUGCCGAGUUGAAAGACUCCAAACCAUCGCGAACAUACCACUACGUUGCCUCGGCGGGCGGCUCCAGGGCGGAGCCUCCCGGCCCCCCUUAGGGGGGUGCCCGCCGCAGGACCCCCUAAACGCACUGUCGCAUCUAGUUAUCUCUGAGUACCCUGCGCAACGCAGUCACAACUUUUAACAACGGAUCUCUAGAUCGGAAGAGCACA
rnacentral:misc_RNA from 1 species